GGGGCUGUAGCUCAGUUGGGAGAGCGCCUCCCUUGCACGGAGGAGGUCGCAGGUUCGACCCCUGUCAGCUCCACCA
rnacentral:tRNA from 3 species